AGCCUGAUGCAGCGACGCCGCGUGAGGGAUGACGGCCUUCGGGUUGUAAACCUCUUUCAGCAGGGACGAAGCGUGAGUGACGGUACCUGCAGAAGAAGCACCGGCCAACUACGUGCCAGCAGCCGCGGUAAUACGUAGGGUGCAAGCGUUGUCCGGAAUUACUGGGCGUAAAGAGCUCGUAGGCGGUUUGUCGCGUCGUCUGUGAAAACCAGCAGCUCAACUGUUGGCUUGCAGGCGAUACGGGCAGACUUGAGUAUUUCAGGGGAGACUGGAAUUCCUGGUGUAGCGGUGAAAUGCGCAGAUAUCAGGAGGAACACCGGUGGCGAAGGCGGGUCUCUGGGAAAUAACUGACGCUGAGGAGCGAAAGCGUGGGUAGCGAACAGGAUUAGAUACCCUGGUAGUCCACGCCGUAAACGGUGGGCGCUAGGUGUGGGUUUCCUUCCACGGGAUCCGUGCCGUAGCUAACGCAUUAAGCGCCCCG
rnacentral:rRNA from 1 species